rnacentral:rRNA from 1 species
AGUGGACGCUGGCGGUAGGCCUAACACAUGCAAGUCGAACGGCAGCACAGUAAGAGCUUGCUCUUACGGGUGGCGAGUGGCGGACGGGUGAGGAAUACAUCGGAAUCUACUUUUUCGUGGGGGAUAACGUAGGGAAACUUACGCUAAUACCGCAUACGACCUACGGGUGAAAGCAGGGGAUCUUCGGACCUUGCGCGAUUGAAUGAGCCGAUGUCGGAUUAGCUAGUUGGCGGGGUAAAGGCCCACCAAGGCGACGAUCCGUAGCUGGUCUGAGAGGAUGAUCAGCCACACUGGAACUGAGACACGGUCCAGACUCCUACGGGGGGCAGCAGUGGGGAAUAUUGGACAAUGGGCGCAAGCCUGAUCCAGCCAUACCGCGUGGGUGAAGAAGGCCUUCGGGUUGUAAAGCCCUUUUGUUGGGAAAGAAAAGCAGCAGGUUAAUACCCCGCUGUUCUGACGGUACCCAAAGAAUAAGCACCGGCUAACUUCGUG